AUGGGAAUCAUUCUUAAGAAGUCACUUGGCGGAGUAAACGUUAGAUAAAAAAUAGUAAUUUAUUUGGAGGAUUUGGCUACAGCUACCAAGUCCCCUCUUCAGCCUAGGGUUGUAAACCUUGUCUUCUCACAGAAUCACAGAAUGGCCAGGGUUGGAAGGGACCUCAAGGAUCGUGAAUCUUCAACCCUCCUGCCAUGUGCAGGGCCACCAACCUCCCCAUUUAAUACUAGACCAGGCUGCCCAGGGCCCCAUCCAGUCUGGCCUUGAACACCUCCAGGGAUGGGGCAUCCUCAACCUCUCUGGACAGCCUGUGCCAGCACCUCACCACUCUCAUAGUAAAGAACUUUCCCCCCGCAUCCAACCUAAAUCCUCCCUCCCUCAACUUGAAACCAUUUUGCCUUAUCCCGCUGUUAUCUACCCUUUCAAAGAGUUGAUUCUCCUCCUGUUUGUAGGCUCCCUUUUAGGUACUCUCCGUGUGAGUGUUUAGGUAAGUACAAGCAGCUACUGGCAGCAUGGUUACUUGGCACAGAUGUGGCAAUUUGUGCUUUCAGUUCUCCCCUUGCAAUCUGCUUCCUUGUUGGGCUGGAGAAUGUAAUGAGGAAAUAGUCUGGAACAAAGAGUUGAGGGAAGAAACUGCUGUAUGGAGGGGUGGGAGGAAAAAAAAAUAGAGGCAAGAAUACGCUGAACUUGUAACAGUGGAUGCUUGAAAGGGGAAGAGAAGGCAGAGAGCAUGCUGAUUGGUAGACUGUACUUCCCUCUGAUAUGGAGUACAGUCAUCACUGUCCUACCUAUGCCUCUGAGUAUUAAACCUCAUUGAUAAAAAGUUAGAUAUUACUAUAUUUUUGAUUCUUGACCUAAGCCAGACUUCUCACUUAUGGAUCUCUCCCUUAGCUCAAAUGUCAAGGUGCUUUAGUAGGAGUCUUAAUUGUGCGACCCACAUAUGGAGUUGGUUAAUUUCCCAAAUCACUUUGUGUGUCUUUGUGCAUAAAAUCAGACAGUCUUCUAUGUUACUUUAAAAUGCAUUUUAUUUUCCUCAUGCAGUUGUUUUUAGCAUGCAAAAUAGACAAUACUUUCUCGUUUAGCUUUCCAUACAUUUAUCCCUAGUUCUAUUUUCUUUAUCCAUAGCUCAUCAUUUUUAGCUCACUGAAUUAAUAGCGUGCCAGCAGCAAUGUUCUCUGAAGGCAUUAUUCUGUGGGCUCUCUGUCGUUUCAGCAUUGGCUGAUAUUAAUGUGUUUCCUCACAACAUCCCUUCUAGAUGGAGGAGGAAGGUGUUGGAGCUCAGUAAAAAAUGGACCUAAUUUUGCAUUCCCUACUUAUGAUGGCAGAAGAGCAGGUUAUUCUCUAGAGAGCACGAAACUGUUUGCAGCUCAGCUUUUUAACAUUAAUUUCAUCAGCAUUUCUGAGAAAAGGAUGUG